rnacentral:sRNA from 2 species
UUGCCUGCAACUUGGCACAACCGCUGCAUGAACGCCUGCAUGUAAUUCACAAGACUGCACCCCUCAACGACGAGGGCUGCACUUCCCGAGAGAACGGGACCGGACAAAGGCGUCCUCGUCAGGUAACUGGCGAGACGCC